rnacentral:rRNA from 1 species
UACGUAGGGGGCAAGCGUUGUCCGGAUUUACUGGGCGUAAAGAGCGUGUAGGCGGCCAAGCAGGUCCGUUGUGAAAACUGGAGGCUUAACCUCCAGACGUCGACGGAAACCGCGUGGCUAGAGUCCGGAAGAGGAGAGUGGAAUUCCUGGUGUAGCGGUGAAAUGCGUAGAUAUCAAGAGGAACACCAGAGGCGAAGGCGGAUUGCUGGGCUGAUACUGACGCUGAGGCGCGAAAGCUAGGGUAGCAAACGGG